UACGGAGGGUGCAAGCGUUGUUCGGAUUUACUGGGCGUAAAGCGCGCGCAGGUGGAUGACCAAGUCGGAAGUGAAAUCCCAGGGCUCAACCCUGGGGCUGCUCCCGAAACGGGUCGUCUAGGGACUGGUAGAGGCUGGUAGAAUUCCCGGUGUAGCGGUGGAAUGCGUAGAGAUCGGGAAGAAUACCUGUGGCGAAGGCGGCCAGCUGGGCCAGAUCCGACACUGAGGCGCGAAAGCGUGGGGAGCAAACAGG
rnacentral:rRNA from 1 species